rnacentral:antisense_RNA from 1 species
GUUGGUAGAGCAUUCAGAGUUUUACGGCCGUCGAACUUUCUUGGUCACUGGCAACUACACGAUACCGAUACGACUUGAAGGUUGAGCGAAUCCCGUCGAUGCUUCAAGUGGCAAGGUAAAUGCUGCUUUUUCCUUAUUAACUCCUAUGUUUGUAUCCGCCCAGUUCAUUUUAUUCUGGGCUUUUUUUU